rnacentral:lncRNA from 1 species
UCGUGUAUUUGAUAUUACAUCCCAAUGACCGCUCUCGUUUCUUAUCUUUCUCCAAUUCUUCAUAGAAAAAAAUCUCAGAUAAAUUAUAUUUUUUUCCUCUAAUUCUUGAUUUUUGGUUAAUGGAAACUGCAUUAAGAGAAUUAAAAGUUAGAGUUAAUUACAAACAUCGGAUUUUGCUCAAUCUGAUUGCAAAACAAAACAAGAGGAGCCAUCAAUAUUAGUACUUGUUAAAAAAAUGUUGAAAAAUCUUUCUAAAUAAGUUUCAGUUAUACCCGUCCAAACCUCUUUCUGAGCACACAUUGGUGGAACAACAAAAAUGGAUGUCUCCUGCAGAUCAGCUGUCAUUGCUCCUGGCUUAGCCAUAGCGUCUGCUACUCCAUUCUGGUUUAUCUGGAACCUCCCUAAUCUUCUUAUUCUUGACCUGCAUUCAUCAAGUAAAUCAUCAUAGAGUAAGUUAUCGAAUUUCAGCAUGGUUAUUACUUCCUUGAAGUCUAUGUUGAUUUUGAGAGGCGUGAGAUGACGAUCUUCAACUAAUCUCAGACCCUCUACUAACAUAUUUAUAUUUACUUCUUGUAAAUCUAACUCAAGAAAAUAAAUUUGAAUAAGAUUGGGAAGUUGGAUAGAUAGCGAGAGUGGGGUAAAAAAAAAAUUUUUGAAUUUAAUUUUUUUAAAAAUAAAAUUUUAUUUUUUGGGGAGGGGUGUGGGGUAGGGGAUCGGAGGUUAGGAUGGGGUUGAGGUAAGACUUUUUUAAAGAAUAUAUAUAUUUUUUUAAAAAAAUAACUUUUUGGGAAAGGGGUAUGCCAUAGGGUGGGAUGGGGGGCCAGUUAGAUGAUACGAUAAAUACGUAAAAAUACAGGAAAAGGCACAAAACAUACACCAAAACAAUCCACAAGUUCAAAGAACAAAUACAACAAGAAUACAAAAUAAAAAUGGUGUAUUUCACACCAAAACAGCCAACAACAAAACAAUAACGUGAAGAACAAGAUGAACAGCAAUAACACAAGUUUCAGAUUCAAUAAAGGACCCAAAACAAUCCACUACACAAGAUAACAACAACAAAAGUAAAGAUAGAAAGUGAGACAUAUAUUAUUACAAGGCCUAAGAACUAAGGUGUGUAUUAAACACCUAAACCCUUAGAAACAUGUAACAAGAACACCUAUACUCUUCGUGGACACAAGAGGGACCUCAAUCUCCCAAGCACCCAACGUUCCAAGCCAAUAACAAAAAACACAAGUGAUUCCAUGCUUGGUGUUCACCUAAUUUCGGAUUUGCUGCUUAGAGAAGAGAGGACUUGUGUUACACACUCUCAAAAUAUCAUAAAUAACUGAUGAAUGAAACCCUAAGUGGUUCUAUAUAUAGUAUAUUACAAAGUGGAAGUCAAAAAUUACCAAAAGACCCUUGUAUGAGUGGGCGCCUAUCAAGUGUAAUAUGUUGGCUGAUUUUUGGUGCAUUUAGGUCCUCUUUUGCACUUCAAUUGCACACACCAAGUCUUGGAUCCAACAUAUGCCCUCAUGAGUCCGUCUGCAUGAUUGUACGUGUAUCAUCCUCCCCUUCUUGAAAAGGAUUCGACCUUGAAUCCGCACCUUGCAAAAUCAAGAGAAGACAAACAAGUACACAUCCUUAUGACACGAGGUUAGGGUUAGCAAAAUAAACAAUUAGCAUUAUUAUGCCAGGGUGGUACAUACUUGAAGUACAGCCAAGGAUCAUUUAUGUUAAUUAUGAAAAGCUUUUGUACAACAUCACAAAGGAAAGAUCUUG